rnacentral:rRNA from 1 species
GCUAACGUUGGCGGCGUGCCUAACACAUGCAAGUCGAACGCGCCGUAGCAAUACGGUGAGUGGCAGACGGGUGAGUAACACGUGGGUAAUCUCCCUCUGAGUGGGGAAUAAGCACUCGAAAGGGUGUCUAAUACCGCAUGACAUCCUGAGGCGAUAGCCGAAGGAUCAAAGCCGCAAGGCGCUCGGAGAUGAGCCUGCGUCCUAUUAGCUAGUUGGUAGGGUAAUGGCCUACCAAGGCUGAGAUGGGUAGCCGGCCUGAGAGGGUGAACGGCCACACUGGGACUGAGACACGGCCCAGACUCCUACGGGAGGCAGCAGUGAGGAAUUUUGCGCAAUGGGGGAAACCCUGACGCAGCGACGCCGCGUGGAGGAUGAAGGCCUUCGGGUCGUAAACUCCUGUCAGAGGUGAAGAACGCCCGCAAGGGCUUGACGGUAACCUCAGAGGAAGCCCCGGCCAACUACGU